CUUCAGAGAUGCAGUGACUACCAGAUGCUUCAGUGUCUUCCAGGAGGGAGGCUUUGCAGUGCAUGGACAGGGACCAGCUGGCAGAGAAAGCAGGUCCAAGCUCAAGCAGCAGCCAGAUCACAAGGAUGACCACAGCCAAGCGCCCAAACCCAUUUGAGACGCAAGGGAACGUCUUAUGUGAUUCCAGAAUCCCAGGUUCUGGGAAGACAGCAAUAUUGCUGAGACCCCAUGGUAGCUUGGGUCCAAACAAGACAAAGCUGAAGCCAACAGGGCUGCCAUCUUCUCACGCUCUAAAGGAAUGGGAGAGGGUGACCACCCUGCAACCCAGUGAAAUGGGUUCUUGUUCUAGCCUGGUGUCAGAGCAUCACUCUCUGCAUCUGGCGUGACACCAGCGAUCCACCUCCAGCAGCAAGGGAACUGGGAAACCAUGUGGACAGGCUGGCCUAGGGCAAGCGAGUGGAAUAUGCAAAGGAGAUGGUUCACAGCAGACCAGCAUGGUCGGCCACCAAGCAGAGGCCAAAUUGCCAUCUGUUUCAUCAGGUUCAUUGGUGGUUGCAGUGUUUAUGUCUGUGGUUUAUGUCUAGGUGUCACCACGAGCCUUGGCAGGUUUGGGAGACUACUAAAUGUACGAUUUGUAGUUA
rnacentral:lncRNA from 1 species